AUGGUGGGUCCUUGUAGUUUUAUAAACUGUGUGAUGGUGGGUCCUUGUAGUUUUAUAAACUGUGUGAUGGUGGGUCCUUGUAGUUUUAUAAACGGUGUGACAGUGGGUUAUUGUAGUUUUAAAAACUGUGUGAUGGUGGGUCCUUGUAGUUUUAUAAACUGUGUGAUGGUGGGUCCUUGUAGUUUUAUAAACUGUGUGAUGGUGGGUCCUUGUAGUUUUAUAAACUGUGUGAUGGUGGGUCCUUGUAGUUUUAUAAACUGUGUGAUGGUGGGUCCUUGUAGUUUUAUAAACUGUGUGAUGGUGGGUCCUUGUAGUUUUAUAAACUGUGUGAUGGUGGGUCCUUGUAGUUUUAUAAACUGUGUGAUGGUGGGUCCUUGUAGUUUUAUAAACUGUGUGAUGGUGGGUCCUUGUAGUUUUAUAAACUGUGUGAUGGUGGGUCCUUGUAGUUUUAUAAACUGUGUGAUGGUGGGUCCUUGUAGUUUUAUAAACUGUGUGAUGGUGGGUCCUUGUAGUUUUAUAAACUGUGUGAUGGUGGGUCCUUGUAGUUUUAUAAACUGUGUGAUGGUGGGUCCUUGUAGUUUUAUAAACUGUGUGAUGGUGGGUCCUUGUAGUUUUAUAAACUGUGUGAUGGUGGGUCCUUGUAGUUUUAUAAACUGUGUGAUGGUGGGUCCUUGUAGUUUUAUAAACUGUGUGAUGGUGGGUCCUUGUAGUUUUAUAAACUGUGUGAUGGUGGGUCCUUGUAGUUUUAUAAACUGUGUGAUGGUGGGUCCUUGUAGUUUUAUAAACUGUGUGAUGGUGGGUCCUUGUAGUUUUAUAAACUGUGUGAUGGUGGGUCCUUGUAGUUUUAUAAACUGUGUGAUGGUGGGUCCUUGUAGUUUUAUAAACUGUGUGAUGGUGGGUCCUUGUAGUUUUAUAAACUGUGUGAUGGUGGGUCCUUGUAGUUUUAUAAACUGUGUGAUGGUGGGUCCUUGUAGUUUUAUAAACUGUGUGAUGGUGGGUCCUUGUAGUUUUAUAAACUGUGUGAUGGUGGGUCCUUGUAGUUUUAUAAACUGUGUGAUGGUGGGUCCUUGUAGUUUUAUAAACUGUGUGAUGGUGGGUCCUUGUAGUUUUAUAAACUGUGUGAUGGUGGGUCCUUGUAGUUUUAUAAACUGUGUGAUGGUGGGUCCUUGUAGUUUUAUAAACUGUGUGAUGGUGGGUCCUUGUAGUUUUAUAAACUGUGUGACAGUGGGUUCUUGUAGUUUUAUAAACUGUGUGAUGGUGGUCCUUGUAGUUUUUUAA
rnacentral:lncRNA from 1 species